rnacentral:rRNA from 1 species
AUGGCGGGGGGAUUGGAAGUGGAAGCGGAGGUGGAGGCGGCGGAGGUAGCUGAAGGGAGUAGAUCAGACCAGGAGGAAUCACUAAAUGAGAAGUUGAGGUACCUGAAUCUCAGGGAAGAAGAGGAAGAAGAUGUGGUACUAGAGGAAGACUUGGAGGAGCUAGAGAAGGAUGCAGAAUUCAUGGCGCUAGCCCGGGUGCAGACAUCUAGAAAAUUCAGUCACUGGGCCUUCUAUGGAACAAUGAGAUCAGCGUGGAAUCUUGCGCAGGAAGUAGAAUUCAGAGCCAUAGAAGAUAACUUGUUCUCUGUACAGAUUGCAUGCUUGGCGGAUUGGGAAAGAGUCAUGCAGGACGGGCCUUGGAUCUUCCGAAAAAACUGCCCGGUGUUGCUUGCUCCAUAUGAUGGAUGGUCCGAACCAGGCAAAGUGGAGCUGAAUAUGUACCAGGUGUGGGUGAGGGUGAUGGGACUGAAAGAGAAGAUGAGGAGUGCGAAUAUUGCUCGUCAGUUGGCAAUGAAGGCAGGUACUGUGGAAAGAAUUGAUGAACGAUCCGUGAAGGGCCAGGGAGGGGGCAUUAGAGUACGCAUAACAUUGGAUGUACGCAAACCCCUCACAAGAUGUGCUAGUCUAACUCUGAGGAUGAAGAAGGUGUAUUUUCCAUUUGAGUAUAAAAAGAUGCCGUGGUUUUGUGGAGUUUGUGGCUUUGUGGGUCAUGUGGCAAAAGAACAUGGUAAUGGGGUGCAUGAGGAGUCGGCCAUUAUCUAUCAUAUAACCUUGAUUGCGCCUGAAUUUAGAAGGGAGGAUCAGAGCUGGCAGGCUGGCUUAAAUGGCAGAGGAGGGUGGUUUUGCGGCAGGCCCAGAACCUAG